GACGAACGCUGGCGGCGUGCUUAACACAUGCAAGUCGAACGGUAAGGCCCCAGCUUGCUGGGGUACACGAGUGGCGAACGGGUGAGUAACACGUGGGUGACCUGCCCCGCACUUCGGGAUAAGCCUGGGAAACUGGGGCUAAUACCGGAUAGGACCGCACCGUGAGGGGGGGGUGGAAAGUUUUUCGGUGUGGGAUGGGCCCGCGGCCUAUCAGCUUGUUGGUGGGGUAAUGGCCUACCAAGGCGGCGACGGGUAGCCGGCCUGAGAGGGUGGACGGCCACAUUGGGACUGAGACACGGCCCAGACUCCUACGGGAGGCAGCAGUGGGGAAUAUUGCACAAUGGGCGGAAGCCUGAUGCAGCGACGCCGCGUGGGGGAUGACGGCCUUCGGGUUGUAAACUCCUUUCGCCAUCGACGAAGGUUUUCUGACGGUAGAUGGAGAAGAAGCACCGGCUAACUACGUG
rnacentral:rRNA from 1 species